UACAGAGGGUGCAAGCGUUAAUCGGAAUUACUGGGCGUAAAGCGUGCGUAGACGGUUAUGUAAGUCAGGUGUGAAAGCCCCGGGCUCAACCUGGGAAUGGCAUUUGAGACUGCAUAGCUAGGGUGCGGAAGAGGGAAGCGGAAUUUCCGGUGUAGCGGUGAAAUGCGUAGAUAUCGGAAGGAACAUCAGUGGCGAAAGCGGCUUCCUGGACCAACACUGACACUGAGGAGCGAAAGCCAGGGGAGCAAACGGG
rnacentral:rRNA from 1 species